rnacentral:tRNA from 1 species
AAUAAAAUGGCUGAGGAUUAAGCGAUAAAUUGUAAAUUUAUUAACGAGAAGAUUUCUCUUUUAUUA